UCGGGUUGUAAAGCACUUUUGUCCGGAAAGAAAACCUUCGAGUUAAUACCUUGGGGGGAUGACGGUACCGGAAGAAUAAGCACCGGCUAACUACGUGCCAGCAGCGCGGUAAUCGUAGGGUGCGAGCGUUAAUCGGAAUUACUGGGCGUAAAGCGUGCGCAGGCGGUUCGUUAAGACAGAUGUGAAAUCCCCGGGCUUAACCUGGGAACUGCAUUUGUGACUGGCGAGCUAGAGUAUGGCAGAGGGGGGUAGAAUUCCACGUGUAGCAGUGAAAUGCGUAGAGAUGUGGAGGAAUACCGAUGGCGAAGGCAGCCCCCUGGGCCAAUACUGACGCUCAUGCACGAAAGCGUGGGGAGCAAACAGGAUUAGAUACCCUGGUAGUCCACGCCCUAAACGAUGUCAACUAGUUGUUGGGGAUUCAUUUCCUUAGUAACGUAGCUAACGCGUGAAGUUGACCGCCUGGGGAGUACGGUCGCAAGAUUAAAACUCAAAGGAAUUGACGGGGACCGCACAAGCGGUGGAUGAAUGUGGAUUAAUUCGAUGCAACGCGAAAAACCUUACCUACCCUUGACAUGGUCGGAACCUGGCUG
rnacentral:rRNA from 1 species